UUAACAUACAAACAAUUUUUUGUAAAGAUGAGCAUCCAAUCCAGGUGAGAAAUGUUUUAUUAAUUCCUGAAUUAAGUGCGAACUUGCUAUCGGUUAGUCAAUUAACCAAAAAUGGCUGUAAAGUGGAGUUCACUGAGACGGGCUGUAAUAUAUAUAAUGCCAAUAAAAUUCUUAUAGCUAAUGCUAAACUUAUCAAUAACAUGUAUAAGUUGAAUACUGUUAGUGGAAGUGCUUAUAAUAUUUCGCAUGAGAGCAAGACAGAUCUCAUAACAUGGCACAAAAGGAUGGGGCACUUAAAUCUGGCAGACGUUAAAAAGUUGGAAUUGUGUGCCGAGGGCAUAACUAUCACUGAUACUAAUAAAAGUAUCGACACUGUUUGUAUUCCAUGCUAUGAAGCGAAACAAACGCGAUUACCAUUUCCCAGCUCGGGUACGAGAGCGAAUGAAUUGCUUGAAAUAGUACAUACAGAUCUAUGUGGUCCGAUGGAGACACCGUCCGCUGGUGGUGCGAGAUACUUCAUAACUUUCAUAGACGACUAUUCACCAGCUUCCGGCAUCAAACAUCAGACCAGCACACCGUACACUCCUGAGCACAACGGUUUAGCUGAGCGCAUGAACCGGACGUUGGUUGAACGUGCAAAAUGCAUGUUAUUUGAAGCAAAGCUGCAAAAACAUUUGUGGGCAGAAGCAGUCACAGCUGCGGCCUAUGUUGUCAACCGAUCACCUUCACGGGUUUUGAGCGAGGUAACCCCGUAUGAAAAAUGGACGGAUUUCAGAUCCAUUGACUGCUGAAGAAGCUUUGUCUGGCAGUGAUGCUGAGAACUGGAAAUCAGCAAUGGAUGAAGAGUACCACUCUUUAUUAGAAAAUAAUACAUGGGAAAUUACUACUCUACCUGAAGGUAAACGUGCUAUACCAUGUAAAUGGAUUUUUAAAAAGAAAACUAAUGAAAAUGGAGAAUUAUCAAAGUAUAAAGCACGACUUGUGAUUAAAGGUUGUUCACAAAAACCUGGAAUAGAUUACACAGAGGUAUUUUCACC